rnacentral:rRNA from 1 species
AUUGCUAUUGGAGUCCGAUUUAGCCAUGCUAGUCGCGCGGGUUUAGACCCGCGGCAUAUAGCUCAGUAACACGUGGCCAAACUACCCUAUGGACAGGGACAACCUCGGGAAACUGAGGCUAAUCCCUGAUAUCACUCUCAUGUUGGAGUGCCGAGAGUGAGAAACGCCCCGGCGCCAUAGGAUGUGGCUGCGGCCGAUUAGGUAGAUGGUGGGGUAACGGCCCACCAUGCCAAUAAUCGGUAUAGGUUGUGAGAGCAAGAGCCUAGAGACGGUAUCUGAGACAAGAUACCGGGCCCUACGGGGCGCAGCAGGCGCGAAACCUUUACACUGCACGACAGUGCGAUAAGGGGACUCCGAGUGCGAGGGCAUAUAGUCCUCGCUUUUCUGUACCGUAGGGAGGUACAGGAACAAGUGCUGGGCAAGACCGGUGCCAGCCGCCGCGGUAAUACCGGCAGCACGAGUGAUGACCGAUAUUAUUGGGCCUAAAGCGUCCGUAGCUGGCUAGACAAGUCCAUCGGGAAAUCCACGCGCUCAACGCGUGGGCGUCCGGUGGAAACUGCUUGGCUUGGGGCCAGAAGACCUGAGGGGUACGUCCGGGGUAGGAGUGAAAUCCUGUAAUCCUGGACGGACCACCAAUGGGGAAACCACCUAGGAGGA